AGAGUUUCGCUCUUCUUGCCCAGGCUGGAGUGCAAUGGCGCAAUCUUGGCUCACUGCAAUCUCCGCCUCCCGGAUUCAAGCGAUCCUCCUGCCUCAGCCUCCCGAGUACUGGAAUUACAGGUGCCUGCCACCAUGCCCAGCUAAUAGGGUUUCACCAUCUUGGCCAGUCUUAUCUCAAACUCCUGACCUCAGGUCAUCCACCUGCCUCAGCCUCCCAAAGUGCUGGGAUUACAGGCAUGAGACACCCCACCGGGCCUGACACCUAUACUUUGAGGAGCAUGGAUCCCCAACUUGAAUGGUGAGUGGAAGGAGAAGCUCAGCACACACAGCUCACGUCUGCCUGGUUUCCUCCUCUUCGGAGGGAGUAAUCUUAAGGAACAUACACUCUACUCU
rnacentral:lncRNA from 1 species